UGCCAGAUAGCUUAGUUGGUAGAGCACCUGACUAGAGAUUCAGGGGGCCUCAGGGUUCGAAUCCCGGUCUGGUCC
rnacentral:tRNA from 1 species